rnacentral:rRNA from 1 species
CGAUUUCCGAAUGGGGAAACCCAGUGUGAUUCGUCACACUAUCAUUAACUGAAUCCAUAGGUUAAUGAGGCGAACCGGGGGAACUGAAACAUCUAAGUACCCCGAGGAAAAGAAAUCAACCGAGAUUCCCCCAGUAGCGGCGAGCGAACGGGGAGGAGCCCAGAGCCUGAAUCAGUGUGUGUGUUAGUGGAAGCGUCUGGAAAGGCGCGCGAUACAGGGUGACAGCCCCGUACACAAAAAUGCACAUGCUGUGAGCUCGAUGAGUAGGGCGGGACACGUGGUAUCCUGUCUGAAUAUGGGGGGACCAUCCUCCAAGGCUAAAUACUCCUGACUGACCGAUAGUGAACCAGUACCGUGAGGGAAAGGCGAAAAGAACCCCGGCGAGGGGAGUGAAAAAGAACCUGAAACCGUGUACGUACAAGCAGUGGGAGCACAGAGCAAUCUGUGUGACUGCGUACCUUUUGUAUAAUGGGUCAGCGACUUAUAUUCUGUAGCAAGGUUAACCGAAUAGGGGAGCCGAAGGGAAACCGAGUCUUAACUGGGCGUUAAGUUGCAGGGUAUAGACCCGAAACCCGGUGAUCUAGCCAUGGGCAGGUUGAAGGUUGGGUAACACUAACUGGAGGACCGAACCGACUAAUGUUGAAAAAUUAGCGGAUGACUUGUGGCUGGGGGUGAAAGGCCAAUCAAACCGGGAGAUAGCUGGUUCUCCCCGAAAGCUAUUUAGGUAGCGCCUCGUGAAUUCAUCUCCGGGGGUAGAGCACUGUUUCGGCAAGGGGGUCAUCCCGACUUACCAACCCGAUGCAAACUGCGAAUACCGGAGAAUGUUAUCACGGGAGACACACGGCGGGUGCUAACGUCCGUCGUGAAGAGGGAAACAACCCAGACCGCCAGCUAAGGUCCCAAAGUCAUGGUUAAGUGGGAAACGAUGUGGGAAGGCCCAGACAGCCAGGAUGUUGGCUUAGAAGCAGCCAUCAUUUAAAGAAAGCGUAAUAGCUCACUGGUCGAGUCGGCCUGCGCGGAAGAUGUAACGGGGCUAAACCAUGCACCGAAGCUGCGGCAGCGACACUAUGUGUUGUUGGGUAGGGGAGCGUUCUGUAAGCCUGUGAAGGUGUGCUGUGAGGCAUGCUGGAGGUAUCAGAAGUGCGAAUGCUGACAUAAGUAACGAUAAAGCGGGUGAAAAGCCCGCUCGCCGGAAGACCAAGGGUUCCUGUCCAACGUUAAUCGGGGCAGGGUGAGUCGACCCCUAAGGCGAGGCCGAAAGGCGUAGUCGAUGGGAAACAGGUUAAUAUUCCUGUACUUGGUGUUACUGCGAAGGGGGGACGGAGAAGGCUAUGUUGGCCGGGCGACGGUUGUCCCGGUUUAAGCGUGUAGGCUGGUUUUCCAGGCAAAUCCGGAAAAUCAAGGCUGAGGCGUGAUGACGAGGCACUACGGUGCUGAAGCAACAAAUGCCCUGCUUCCAGGAAAAGCCUCUAAGCAUCAGGUAACAUCAAAUCGUACCCCAAACCGACACAGGUGGUCAGGUAGAGAAUACCAAGGCGCUUGAGAGAACUCGGGUGAAGGAACUAGGCAAAAUGGUGCCGUAACUUCGGGAGAAGGCACGCUGAUAUGUAGGUGAAGCGACUUGCUCGUGGAGCUGAAAUCAGUCGAAGAUACCAGCUGGCUGCAACUGUUUAUUAAAAACACAGCACUGUGCAAACACGAAAGUGGACGUAUACGGUGUGACGCCUGCCCGGUGCCGGAAGGUUAAUUGAUGGGGUUAGCGCAAGCGAAGCUCUUGAUCGAAGCCCCGGUAAACGGCGGCCGUAACUAUAACGGUCCUAAGGUAGCGAAAUUCCUUGUCGGGUAAGUUCCGACCUGCACGAAUGGCGUAAUGAUGGCCAGGCUGUCUCCACCCGAGACUCAGUGAAAUUGAACUCGCUGUGAAGAUGCAGUGUACCCGCGGCAAGACGGAAAGACCCCGUGAACCUUUACUAUAGCUUGACACUGAACAUUGAGCCUUGAUGUGUAGGAUAGGUGGGAGGCUUGGAAGUGUGGACGCCAGUCUGCAUGGAGCCGACCUUGAAAUACCACCCUUUAAUGUUUGAUGUUCUAACGUUGACCCGUAAUCCGGGUUGCGGACAGUGUCUGGUGGGUAGUUUGACUGGGGCGGUCUCCUCCUAAAGAGUAACGGAGGAGCACGAAGGUUGGCUAAUCCUGGUCGGACAUCAGGAGGUUAGUGCAAUGGCAUAAGCCAGCUUGACUGCGAGCGUGACGGCGCGAGCAGGUGCGAAAGCAGGUCAUAGUGAUCCGGUGGUUCUGAAUGGAAGGGCCAUCGCUCAACGGAUAAAAGGUACUCCGGGGAUAACAGGCUGAUACCGCCCAAGAGUUCAUAUCGACGGCGGUGUUUGGCACCUCGAUGUCGGCUCAUCACAUCCUGGGGCUGAAGUAGGUCCCAAGGGUAUGGCUGUUCGCCAUUUAAAGUGGUACGCGAGCUGGGUUUAGAACGUCGUGAGACAGUUCGGUCCCUAUCUGCCGUGGGCGCUGGAGAACUGAGGGGGGCUGCUCCUAGUACGAGAGGACCGGAGUGGACGCAUCACUGGUGUUCGGGUUGUCAUGCCAAUGGCACUGCCCGGUAGCUAAAUGCGGAAGAGAUAAGUGCUGAAAGCAUCUAAGCACGAAACUUGCCCCGAGAUGAGUUCUCCCUGACUCCUUGAGAGUCCUGAAGGAACGUUGAAGACGACGACGUUGAUAGGCCGGGUGUGUAAGCGCAGCGAUGCGUUGAGCUAACCGGUACUAAUGAACCGUGAGGCUUAACCUUACA